UGGAUAGACUUCGGAGAAGGAAUAUGACAUAUAUAUAUUGUUACGAACUGUCUUAAAGGUGUUCCAAGCGGAUUCAAAGCGGUUAUAAAAAUUUCUUAAAAGAAUCUUGAUAAAAUAUAAAUUUGUAUAUAAGUUGUUCGUUACUCUAAUAAAAUUCCGUUAAUAUUGUUUUGCGGGAGAUUGUUCUACAAGAAGAAAGGAGGGGAAACGGAGAUUAAGGAGCACCCGGAACAAGCUUGAGGUGAAAAAAAGCGGAAUGACGACUGAGAUACGCAAAUAAAGUCUCGUGGAUUGUGGAGAUAAAUCGUGAUCCGACAAAGGGGAUUUCUCUAUUGAGACGGAUAUUCAAAAUUCAGCUCAGGUUUAGGAAAACAAUUAACCUGUUGACAACCUCGAGUUGUACGAUUAAUUUGUUGAUGAGUUCAGGCUGUGCUGUCAAGUUAUUAAAUUCAGUCGGAAAUCCAGUGACAGGAUUAUAUUACUUGGUGAAACCAAAUGAGUUUGAUAGUUCGGAACAUUUACGAGAAAGUUUUGCUCAUUUUGAAUUUAUCUCCAAGGCUAAUUAUUAGGAAGAGCCGGUGAAGGCAUUAAUUCCCAUCUCGUGUUUACGUGGAAGGGCACCUACUGUUUUGGUGACGGUGAAAGAUCCGACGAGUUUGACGUUUACAGAAUUGAAGAGGCAGGACCGGAUGUGUUUUUAGUAAAUCCUAAACUUGUCAAUUGAUCUUUAGUAAGGGGCUUCUUGGCAAAGAUGAGAAAGGAAAGAUGGAAUUUCCUAAAAAACUAUUUCUAGUGAUAGUAGAGAUUGCGAAUGAUUGUAUCUUAAAGAACGACUUUUUGGUAAAGACAGGAAAAUUCUUGGAAUCAAUGAAGCAAGAAAAGAAUUUCUCAAAGUUUCUUCAUGAUUUUUUAAAAAAGAAGAUGUCGCAGAAAAUUGAAGGAACACAUAGAAUUAAUCGAUUUUCACUUCAUAAACCAAAUUCCUCAUAGGAUUCUUUUUCACUUGAAAAGGAAAGUGGACCAGAUUAUCGAGGAUGUGAAAACUCAGAGGGUGAUAAAAGAAUCUUCGAGCCUUAGGAUCUUUUCUGCGAUACUUGUACGUAAGAAGGAUGGUACCUAGAGAUUUUCUGUCAACAAGAAAUUGAACACAGUAACAAAGAAGAUGAUUUAUUUGAUCCAUUGGGCAAAAAUGGUUACGACUCUUGAUUUGAAGAAUGGAUGUAGAUAAAUGGAAAUUCGUUGGGACUAUGCAAUGAUCCAGCUAUAUUUGAAUGUUUGACGUUUUCUAGAAUUUAUUGAAUAGGAUUUGCUUGGUAUGUCUUGAUGAUAUAAUUAUUUAUAACUGUAUCUUUGAAGCAAUGUUGGAAAAUUUAUGGGAGAUCUUUGCAAAAUUAUGUAUGGCAGAUGUGAAGAUUAAUCCAGAGAACAAUAAAUUUUUCAAAAAGGAAGUAAAAUAUUUGGGACACGUAAUCUUGAAAAAGGAUCAGUCUAUGGAUAAGGAAAAGACUGAGAUUACAGCGAGUAGACCUGUAUCUUGAAAUAGCAAACAAGUUAGAAGCUUUCUAGGAUUUUGUUCAUAUUAUCAUAGGUUUGUAAAGGGUUAAUUGCAAACUCGUUAAUCACAAAAUCUUUGUAUUUAUUAAUGAAAACAAGAAGAUAUUUUCAUGGAAUUAAGAUCAUCAAAAAUCAUUUGAAAGCUUUAAAGAGAUUCUCACAUGAUUUUUCCGUAUUUAUGGAACAAUUUCUGUCUUCAACUGGAACUCAAUCUGAGAGGACUCGCACAUUUGCCAGAUUAUAUAUAUAACUGGAUUAUAAAUUUUUAUAUAAGUUAUUUGUUAAGUUCUGUUAAUGUUGUUACGUGGGAGAAUGUUCUAUGUAACAAUAUAUUGUUAUCAGAACAUAUAUGCUCAGAACAAGUAGGCUGUUUCCAGACCUACGUUUUAUUUCCAUGAUUUGUUUACAAAAAGCAACAAGCAGUGAUAGUGAGAGUUCGAUUGGAGAGGACCUAGCAUACAAGUACUCUAGAUUUUAAAGAUUAUUGAGAAGCUGAACUGUAGAUAGAUGUUAAUAGUCUUAAAAAAGUUCUAUUAAC